AUUGAACGCUGGCGGCAUGCCUUACACAUGCAAGUCGAACGGUAACGGGUCCUUCGGGAUGCCGACGAGUGGCGAACGGGUGAGUAAUAUAUCGGAACGUGCCCAGUAGUGGGGGAUAACUGCUCGAAAGAGCAGCUAAUACCGCAUACGACCUGAGAGUGAAAGGGGGGGAUCGCAAGACCUCUCGCUAUUGGAGCGGCCGAUAUCAGAUUAGCUAGUUGGUGGGGUAAAGGCCUACCAAGGCAACGAUCUGUAGUUGGUCUGAGAGGACGACCAGCCACACUGGGACUGAGACACGGCCCAGACUCCUACGGGAGGCAGCAGUGGGGAAUUUUGGACAAUGGGCGCAAGCCUGAUCCAGCAAUGCCGCGCGCAGGAAGAAGGCCUUCGGGUUGUAAACUGCUUUUGUCAGGGAAGAAAUCUUCUGGGCUAAUACCCCGGGAGGAUGACGGUACCUGAAGAAUAAGCACCGGCUAACUACGUGCCAGCAGCCGCAGUAA
rnacentral:rRNA from 1 species